GCUCCACAUACAACUUGCCUGCCUCCUACUGUUUCAAUCAGGGUUUUGGUGGCACAUGAGGACAUGCAGUGAUGUGGAAGAUAGCUCAGUGCUGGACAAAGUUUUCACAUCUUUUGCUACAGUAAAAAAAGCACUGAUAUCACGCUGCAAAAGUUAGAAGGUUGCUUUUAAAAAAAAAAGCCUGCUUUAAAAAUGUUAUUUAUGGAAAAGUAUGUAAGCAUAAUGAUAAAAAAAAUGCUCUUAAAAUAUUAAAAUCUAAAGCAGUGAGUGCAGAAAAAAAUGUCCCUUGUGAUUGCAAAAAUGUCCUAUGCUAUAUUAAGUGUUGGAAAAAUGAGACACUGUCUGAAAAUUUGUAUUCAUGAAUAAUUAAAUGUAAUUAAUUCCAGGGUGUCAGGUCCCAACUUCAAAUUUAGCCAAAAAGGUUUUGAGCUGUUCAGUGGUGGCAAAUUUCAAACACUGAGCAUUAGUACACAAACACUCCUUUGAUCAAUGGUGAUAAAAUGCAGCUUUAUUCUUUUGACAUGAUGCCACAGAUGACACAGUUAUGACUGUAGCCAAUGAUCUAAAUGUCCACAACUACACCAUUUGUCAGAGAAAUCAUUUUAGAGCCAUUUGAAACGAGACAUACCUGCUACAUGGUGCUCUGCAAGUGAAACCUGUCCCUCUAAAAUGUCCACUAACUUCAGAUAGAGUGGAACACAUUUCACAAGCAGCAACCACCUAAACAAUAACAAUCUUAUUCAGUCUGGUGUCACAGAUGUGCGACUCUUUACUGACUUCUGGUGUCUGCUCCAUGACCCCACUCUCCAUCUACCCAUCAUCACUGCUAUAUAGUUCAUACUUAGUUGUAUCAUGACGUCUCCUCUGUUUUAAAGAUGUCAUGUGUUGGAACAAAGAUACUAUUUUCCCCAGUGUUCAAAAAGCUGGAUAAAUAAAGCUAAAUUACUUGGUGUUGUUGGAUUAUUACUCUGCCAAAGAAUGCAGCGGAAUGCAGUCGGUGUACGUUUGUCUGUUAAUCUGUCAAUCUGUCCGUCUGUCUGUGCACAACAUUACUCAAAAACGAAAUGAUGGAUUCGGAUUAAAUUUUUAGGGAAAGUCAGAAGUGACACUAGGACCAAGUGAUUAGAUUUUGGCAGUCAUGCAGCUUAUAGUCUGGAUCCACGGAUUUGCUAAAGAUUUCUGUAUCAUUGCGACAUACUGUAACUAUGACAACAAGUGAAUGCUAUGUCAGCUGCCUGCUGACGAUCACAUGGCGAUUAUACUACAAAUCAACCACUGUUCCCUCUAAGCUGCGCACGUGCGCAAUUGCGCACUGUUGACACGGUCUCCGCGCACAGAAAAUCUGCGCUGCGCACCAAAAAAAAUCCAACCUAAAGUGUAAAUAAAAUAAACACAUAACAAUUCAUUCUGUGCUAUUUUUCAGUGUGAGUCAGUGAGUGACCGGUGACUGGCUGCUGCAGUCAAUGAUGCGAUUCACAUACGUAUUUACCAUAGACUGUAUAUAAUGGUAUUUACGCAGCUAAUCAACGUCAGACGUCCAUGGUUCUCAUAGAUAUGAAUGAGUAGAUAGGACACGCCCCUUUGAGCUGCGUGCUACAGCGAGGCUAAGCUAGUGGAGGCAAAGUUUCAGUGCAUUCUCUUGAUGUAGACGGCGUGAAAACGGAAACAAGAAGUAUGCCGUCUCACUGUGCUGCAUACAAUUACACACUGCGUCGUACGAUUGAGACAAGGAAACUUGGAAUGACUUUUCAUAGGUUUCCCAGAGACUAUGGGUUGAGGAGGAAUUGGAAGUUUGUCAGCUUAGACCUGGUGUCAUUCCAUCAGUGUUAAACUUCCCGGCUCAUCUUGGAAGAGUACGUGCCAGAAAGACCACAACCAAGCAGCCUUGAGAUCUUAGGCAACGUCUCCCUCAGACCAAAGAACUACAGACUCUUCACAACCUGCUCAAACUCUUGGUACAGGACCUCACCACACGGGUCAAGAAGGUUUCCGUCUCAUUUCUACGCUGAAGCUCACCUUCUCCUGCUCAAACUGCUGACAAAUGUUUCUGCUGCUCUCAAGUCUGGUCUCCAGAACUUCCUAAAAACUCUCAAAGUCUCUUCUGCUGCAGGUUGCUUUGUAGAACUGUUCCAGAAAACCUCACUAAACCACAUGGAGGGGCCUCAAGAUAGUCAUCCAAAUGAAACCAUACAAAAACCAAACUAGCACAACCCAAACGCUAAAGUCUCCUGCAGCCGACCAGAGAAGCUCUGAGAACAGAGAAUCAGGACAGGAACUCUUACCUUCUGGACAACCAAUGUUGGUUCACAAACAUGAAUACAGAAUGUGUCUGACCAAAAACCUCUAAAGACUCACUACAGCCAAGAUAAAGACACAACUCAGCUGUACCAAAUCCACUAAUCAUUGCACACAUUAGCACCAUGUGCUAACUGUGGCUAAAGAACCACAUUUACCAAGACAACUAUCCAGUACAAAGCCCUAAAACACACCAAGAAACACAUUAAAGUCUAUUUUACUGCUGGAAGCUGCAAGCCAACGCCUAAAGCACAAACUAAAGCAAUGGAGCCAAACCCAGUUCACUGGUGAAGAGAAACAGAGGAAAUGUUUGUCUGCAGCUAAAUAAAGCAGGAAGACACUGAGCUGCUCAGGUGUUCCUGAUAACACCAAGCUGCUCAGGUGUUCCUGAUAACACCAAGCAGCCACCUGGACAGCCAAUAGGAACACAGCUUACUGGAAGUCCAGAGGGCUGGCUUAGUGAAGGAAAUUUAGUUUAAAGUUGAGGCAGAAAGUUAACAAAGAAAGUUGAAAACCA